GGUGCUCUCUGUCUCAGGUGGGAGGCCCAGCUGGAAUAGAAACUUCUUCCAUGUUUUAUGUGAUCCCUAGAGCCAACAAGCUGCAUUAGAUUGAACCAAAGGAUGGGCUGCAGGCUACACGGAACCGCUUAGGGCUUUGGAAACUCUGAGGAAAGCCAAAUAGUGACGUGACUUCACCAUGGAAUCUGCUAAAGAGAAUCCCAUGAGGUUCAUAUCCCUGAGCUUAUCUUCCCAGCCUUCCCUUGAUGGCCACCCCAGGACAAGGGGCCCGUGGAGAACCUCUUAUUAAUUUCCAACAAUUUUGCUCUAUUGUGUAGUAUUUCAGUGACAGAAUCCACUCAGGAGAGUUGGGGCAAAGCUGGCCAAGGUUGUGAAGGAGCUGAGUUCUGAGUUCAGGUAUCCAUAUGGCAGUGGAAUGAAUGAUGCCUCCUGUCCCUUGAGAGCUUUGAGACGUCUGGGAGGUCCUAGAAAUCUCUUCGAAUCUCCAGUCCAGGACACAACUGCCUAGGGGAAUUCCAGGGACAGGCGGCAGGUAGUGUAUCCUCUCUGAGUUUUCUUCUCUUGCCCUCGAAUCCCUCCUCUGUGUCUGUUAUGUACGAUUCCACACAGAACACGAUUCCGUAGGUCACUGAUGCCUAGGGAUUUAUUCUAUGUUCUUAUCAACAGAGAUUGCAUGGCCUGCAAGGUGAUGGACUCCAAUGUGAUCACUGAAGGAUCCACCAAAUUGCAAACCACUGACAGUUCCAGUGCCCAAACCCCCUUCUGGAGAGGAGACGAGAGAAGCAAGCUAGGAGGCCCAUUACUUGGCUAGAGAGCUGAUGGACCACUACUCGGGUCUCCUGCAAGUUGCUGAAAUGCUGUGAGGAAACUGUCAUCGCUCACAGGAUGGAAUCAAGAAGCUCGGAGAAUUGAACUAUGCCGGAAAUACUUCAGACUGAGGUCCUGGGACCCCAGUUCUGAAUCUGAUUGUCUCCCCUCCCUCCCUCUCUCCCUCCCUCCUUCUUUCCUUCCCUCUCCUAUAUUUCUUUUUUCUUGACUUGGGGAAUUGUAAACAUGAACUGCUUUAAUAGGUAUAACUUUGUUCCCAAAUUAGAUGUUACUCUAGACAUGUUACUAGAAACUUAGGAGAGUCCUACCAAAGUCACUGCCUGUCACCUGGGGAAUCAGGGUAGGCCUGUGGAGCAUUUAAGUCCCAUUAAUAAAAAUAAUAUAAGAACCGACUCA
rnacentral:lncRNA from 1 species